rnacentral:rRNA from 1 species
CAAAGGGUGCGCGGUGAAUGACUAGGGACAAGUUGCCGAUGAAGGACGUGUAAGCGACGAAACGUCACGGGAAGCUGCACAGAAGCGAUGAUCCGUGAAUAUCCGAAUGGGGAAACCCGGCGGGGCAAUACCCCGUCGCCUCUACCUGAACACAUAGGGUAGUGUGCGGGCACCAGGUGAACUGAAACAUCUAAGUAACCUGAGGAAAAGAACUCGAAGAGACUCCGUAAGUAGCGGCGAGCGAAAGCGGAAGAGCCUAAACCAGUGGGCUUGCCUACUGGGGUCGUGGGGCAUUCACAAACUUCCUCCAAUCAAGGCCUUGAGCUUUGAUUGGUGGAGUUUGAAAAGAAGAUCGUGUUUUGGUUAGGAGAACAGGCCUGGAAGGGUCGGCCGUAGAGGGUGACAGCCCCGUAUUCCAAAAACCAAACCGAAUUCAGAAUGUACCCGAGUAACACGGAGCACGAGGAAUUCCGUGUGAAUCUGUCCGGACCACCGGAUAAGGCUAAGUACAACUUGUCACCGAUAGUGAAUCCAGUACCGUGAGGGAAAGUUGAAAAGUACGCCGGGAGGCGAGUGAAAUAGAUCCUGAAACCGCGAUACCUACAAGCAGUCAAAGCACCAGGUCCGGAGCAAUCCGGUCAAGUGUGAUGGCGUGCCUUUUGCAGAAUGAGUCUGCGAGUUAAUAGUGCUGGCAAGGUUAAGGCUUUAAGAGCCGGAGCCGGAGGGAAACCGAGUCCGAAUAGGGCGUCAAGUCAGUAUUAUUAGACCCGAAACUGCGUGAUCUAGCCAUGGCCAGGCUGAAGUGUUGGUAACACAACAUGGAGGGCCGAACUCAUUGACGUUGAAAAGUCUCGGGAUGAGCUGUGGUUAGUCCGGUGAAAUGCCAAUCGAACGCAGAGAUAGCUGGUUCUCCCCGAAAUGCAUUGAGGUGCAGCGUUACGUGUUUUCAUACGGGGGUAGAGCACUGAAUGGGCUAGGGGGCCUACCAGCUUACUGAACCCAAAUAAACUCCGAAUACCGUAUGAUUAGCGUAGCAGUGAGACUGCGAGGGAUAAGCCCCGUGGUCAAAAGGAAAAAAGUCCAGAUCGUCAGCUAAGGGCCCUAAACGGAAGCUAAGUGUGAAACGAUGUGAAUUCGCGUAAACAGCCAGGAGGUUGGCUUGGAAGCAGCCACCCUUUAAAAAGUGCGUAAUAGCUUACUGGCCGAAUGUGAAUUUGCGCGGAAAAUGUAAGGGGGCUUAAGCUUCCUCCCGAAGCUACGGGAUCCCACAAGAGUGGUGAUCGGUAGGGGAGCGUCGUAUAUGCGGUGAAGCCAAAGCGGAAGCCUUGGUGGAGCGUAUUCGAGUGAGAAUGCAGACAUGAGUAGCGAUAACAGGGGUGAGAAUCCCCUGCGCCGAAAACCUAAGGUUUCUCCGGCCAUGUUCGUCAGACGGAGGUUAGGCGGUCCCUAAGGCCAGGCCAGAAGGCGUAGCCGAUGGACAUCGGGUAGACAUUCCCGACCCAGGUGCAAGUGCGAUGGAGGGACGCCUCUUAAUGUUUCAUCCCACACCGUUGGUUGUUGUGGGCUACCGGGAUAACCCAGCUGUUUAAUAGAUGGCUUUUCAAAGGGUGGGGCCGGGGGGAAGGGAAUUCUUCGGAUGAACCGAACUGAAACAAAGGGGGGCCGAGAAAAGCUUCUAAGCAUAACUUGUAUCUGACCGUACUGUAAACCGACACAGGUAGGUGAGUCGAGGAGACUCAGGCGUUCGAGAGAACUCUCGUUAAGGAACUAGGCAAAUGGGCCCCGUAACUUUGGAAUAAGGGGCGCCCCGCAAGGGGCCGCAGCAAAGCAUCCCAGGCGACUGUUUACCAAAAACACAGGUCUCUGCUAAGGCGAAAGCCGAUGUAUAGGGGCUGACGCCUGCCCAAUGCUCGUAGAUUAAUCGGAGAUGUCAGGGUAACCGAAGCAUUGAAGUGAAGUCCGAGUGAAUGGCGGCCGUAACUCUAACGGUCCUAAGGUAGCGAAAUUCCUUGUCGGCUAAAUACCGACCCGCAUGAAAGGCGUAACGACUUGGGAACUGUCUCAACGAGAAGCUCGGUGAAAAUGUAGCACCCGUGAAGAUGCGGGUUACGCGCAGUAGGACGGAAAGACCCCGUGGAGCUUUACUACACCUUCGGAUUGUUGUUUGGAUGUAGAUGUAGAGCGUAGGUGGGAGCUUCGGCACCAAUGGAACACCACCCUUCUACAUCUGGAUAACUAACUUGGCCCGUAAUCCGGGUCGAAGACACUCCGUGGCGGGUAGUUUGACUGGGGCGGUCGCCUCCCAAAAAGUAACGGAGGCGUACAAAGCUGCACUCAGCCUGGUCGGAAAUCAGGCGUUGAGCGUAUAGGUAUAGAGUGCGGUUGACUGUGAGACAAACAAGUCGAGCAGGGACGAAAGUCGGUCUAAGUGACCCUCUGGUGGUGCGUGGGCACGCCAGGGUUCAACGGAUAAAAGCUACCCCGGGGAUAACAGGCUGAUCUUGCCCGAGCGCUCAUAGCGACGGCAUGGUUUGGCACCUCGAUGUCGGCUCGUCACAUCCUGGGGCUGUACAAGGUCCCAAGGGUUCCGGAGUUCACGGAUUAAAGUGGCACGCGAGCUGGGUUCAGAACGGCGUGAGCCAGUUCGGUCCCUAUCCACUGUGCGCGUAGGAAAUUUGAGAGGAGUCGCUCCUAGUACGAGAGGACCGGAGUGAACCGACCUCUGGUGUACCUGUUGUGCCGCCAGGCGCAGAUGCAGGGUAGCCACGUCGGGUCGUGAUAAGCGCUGAAAGCAUCUAAGCGCCAAGCACACCUCAAGAUGAGAUUUCCCAUAUUAGUAAGGACCCAGGAAGACCACCUGGUGAUAGGUCGCAGGUAGAAGCGUGGUAACACGUGCAGCUAAGCGAUACUAAUUGUCCGAGGGCUUACACU